rnacentral:sRNA from 1 species
GGAGGGUCCGGGGCCGAGACGAUGGCUGACGACAACCCUGACAGCGACUCCACGCCGCGCACGCUGCUGCGACGCGUGCUGGAUACAGCGGACCCGCGCACCCCGCGGCGACCCCGGAGUGCUCGGGCUGGAGCCCGGAGAGCCCUGCUUGAAACGGCUUCCUCCAGGAGGUUGAGUGGCCAAACAAGGACGAUAGCCAGAGGGCGUUCCCAUGGAGCCAGGUCUAUUGGCAGAUCGGCCCAUAUUCAGGCCAGUGGGCACUUGGAGGAACAGACACCUCGGACGCUGCUGAAGAACAUCCUACUAACUGCCCCAGAAUCUUCCAUCCUGAUGCCUGAGUCGGUAGUGAAGCCAGUGCCAGCACGGCAGGUGGUCCAACCCUCCAGACAAGAGAGCAGUUGCGGCAGCCUGGAGCUGCAACUUCCUGAGCUCGAGCCCCCCACAACCCUGGCUCCAGGUCUGCUGGCCCCUGGCAGGAGGAAACAGAGGCUGAGACUGUCAAUGUUUCAGCAGGGAGUGGACCAGGGGUUGUCUCUCUCCCAAGAGCCUCAAGGGAAUGCUGAUGCCUCUUCCCUCACCAGAUCCCUCAACCUGACCUUUGCCACACCUCUUCAGCCACAGUCAGUGCAGAGGCCUGGCUUGGCCCGCAGACCUCCAGCCCGCCGAGCUGUAGACGUGGGUGCCUUUUUGCGGGAUCUGCGAGAUACUUCCCUGGCUCCUCCAAACAUUGUGUUGGAGGACACCCAGCCGUUCUCUCAGCCCAUGGUUGGCUCCCCCCAUGUGUAUCACUCCCUGCCCUGCACGCCUCACACUGGGGCUGAAGACGCUGAGCAGGCUGCCGGUCGCAAGACACAGAGCAGUGGGCCUGGGCUGCAGAAGAAUAGUGAGUGUGUGGCACUGGUGGCCUGGAGCCAAAUUUAGCUUGGGUGAGAGUUGACAAUGGUAGUUUUCCUUCCUCAAGCCCCUCUGUGCCCCUAGAGCACCCUGGCUGUGGCUGCCUCCUUCAUCCAAGAGCAGAGUCCAUGUUGGGCCAGGAGACUUCAGAUCCAUGUCCUGGUGCUGCCUCUGGCUUUGUCUUUCCUCAGUGGGCAGGACUGGGUCUGCUAGUCCAUCUUUACCCUUCUCUGAGCUAUGCAGCCUUGGCCUGCUGCGUCUCCAGCCUGUAUUCUCUCCCCUUCACUCAGGCCCUGGGAAACCAGCCCAGUUUCUGGCAGGAGAGGCAGAGGAGGGCGAUGCCUUUGCUCUGGGCUUCCUGAGCACCAGCAGUGGUGUCUCUGGAGAAGAUGAAGUAGAGCCCUUACACGGUGGAGUUGAAGAGGCAGAGAAAAAGAUGGAAGAAGAAGGUGUGAGUCAAGUCCAGAGUCGGCCUCCAGCACCCCUGAGUCUCUCCAGGCCAGGCGACAUCAUCAGUUUAUUGAGCCAGCCCCAGCGCCUGGUGCUGCAGUCUUAUCUUCAGAGCCUGCAGAGCCUCUGUUGGUCAGGCAUCCCCCUAGGCCCCGGACCACCGGCCCCAGGCCCCGGCAAGAUCCCCACAAGGCUGGACUGAGCCACUAUGUGAAACUCUUUAGCUUCUAUGCCAAGAUGCCCAUGGAGAGGAAGGCUCUUGAGAUGGUGGAGAAGUGCCUAGAUAAAUAUUUCCAGCAUCUUUGUGAUGAUCUGGAGGUAUUUGCUGCUCAUGCUGGCCGCAAGACUGUGAAGCCAGAGGACCUGGAGCUGCUGAUGCGGCGGCAGGGCCUGGUCACUGACCAAGUCUCACUGCACGUGCUAGUGGAGCGGCACCUGCCCCUGGAGUACCGGCAGCUGCUCAUCCCCUGCGCAUACAGUGGCAACUCUGUCUUCCCUGCCCAGUAGUGGCCAGGCUUCAACACUUUCCCUGUCCCCACCUGGGGCCUCUUGCCCCCACAUAUUUCUCCAGGUCUCCUCCCCACCCC